ensembl:lncRNA
GGCACACAUUACAAAAAAUUAUGACACUUCAGCCAUCUGCUAUUGUUCUCUUUCAGGUCAAGAGUGACCGUGCUGAUUAAGCUGGAUCUUCUAAACAUAUUUUUAGCUAACUGCCUCAACACAUCCGGUUUACUGACACAGGCAUCUGAAGGAAACUCUAUCGUCCCCUGGAGUACUGAGGGAAUUUGAGAGUGUGUGGAGGCCCGGGGCGAAGGCUGUCUCUGCACAUGAUCGUCCGCAACUAAUACAUCCCACAAGUGCACAUGAGUGUGAUGGAGCCCCUGCCCAUAUUACUGUGGAAACAGGUGCUUUCUGCAGCCCAGCAGAUGUCCCACAACGCUGCUGUGGAAACGGCCUCUCAAUAGCCAUGCACAGAAACAAUGCAUGAUGCCCUGCCAAGGUGGUCCGACUUCUGUUUAUCGUUGACGCAGAUCUGUAUGAGUCAGAUGAGAGUUGGCGUCCUCCGGCCAGCUCAAGGUGACAGAGACGCAUGGUCAUCGAUCCCUGUCUCGCCUCCUCUCUGUUAUCAAAAUGUAACAUCAUUAUCUCCUACCCUUUGACCCCUUCUGAUGGACACAGGUGACAGCAGUGCUUACAUCAGCACAGCGAGGUGAGGAGGGUCAUUAUUAUCACAUUAUUCUCAUCCUCUCAUCACCCAGGAGUCUGUCUGUGUGUGAUCGUGUCUGCUGGGAGUCCUGGCGUAGACCAACACAUCUUCCAAUGCACUGUGGGUAAUAAGAAACUCUGCUGAUAUAUGAAUUUCCAAAAGAGAUUGUAUUGUGUUUUCGUUUUGCCAUAGAGAAACAGAGGAAAGGUUCGGGCUCCAACAGUCAUGUAUUUUUUCUGCUUCUUGCUAAGGUGAGAAUCACUAAUAUAACUAAUAUUACAAUUUUUUGAAGUAGCAAUUUAAACACAAAGCAAUAAACUUUGUUUUGUAACCCA